AUGGGGUCAAGAAGAGUCAGACAUGACNNNNNNNNNNNNNNNNNNNNNNNNNNNNNNNNNNNNNNNNNNNNNAAAUGGCAACCCACGCCAGUGUUCUUGCCUGGAGAAUCCCAGGGACGGAGAAGCCUGGUGGGUGGCUGUCUGUGGGGUUGCAGCAGCAGCAUUGGCUUGAAACAGUACCAUUUAUCAUUGCCAGACGUGGCAUGGCUGGGCUCUCAGCUCAGAGUCCUGCUGGGUGAAACUGAGGUGUUGGUGGGGCUGCAAACUCACUGGUUGUCAGCAGGAUUCAAUUCCUGCAGCUGUAGGACUGAGGUCCCAUCAUCUUGUGGGUUGUCGGCUCCUGUAGACCAUCCUCAGGCCCUGUGGUCCCUCCAUCUGAGGAACAGAGUGCGUCCCACACAUCGAUUCCCUCUCUGGCUUUGAAUCUCUCUAAUCUCACCUUCCACAAGCAGCUGGAGAAAACUAUUUUUUUUUUAAUGGCUUUGAGUGAUUAGGUCAGGCCCACUUGGAUAACCUAUCUCUUAGGCAACUUAUAACCUAAUCACGGGAGUGAUGGCGGAGUCACAGGUUCCACCCACACCCAAUGUAGGGAGUUCACGAGAGCAAAGGUCAUCGGGGGCCAUAGGAGAAUUCUGCUGCCACAGAAGGGAGACCACGAAGGAGGUACAGAGAAAGUUAAGGAACUUCCCUCAGGAAGUAUGGAGAAUUGGAGAUGGAGCCUGAAGCAGAAACGGGGGCCCCAACCCUAAUCUGAAGCUUUAUCCUCUACACAAACGUGACAGGAGCAGCGGGUGGAUGGACAAGAUGACCAUUCAGGCUCCAGCUGACGUUUCAUGGCCCACAUGCUCACGUGCACACAGGGAAUCCCGGCCUUCUUGGGGUUGAGGGGUGUGGAUACCAGCUAUAGGAGCAGGGAUGAGGCCCCAUAGAAGCAUAAAGCCCUUGCCUGGGAGAUGAUCCUAAAUGCACCCAGGAAGGCAGAAUGGGGGUCACACGCCUCUGUUGGGGUUUGUAGCAAACUGCAAUACCCGCCAAUGCCCUGGUCCCCUUUCCUACCCUAUCCACAGGGAGAGUCCUGGGCCAACAAGACUAGGGUCCCCCAACCACUAGGGGGCGACUAGCACACACAAUGUUUUUUGUCCAGGCUCACCCUGAGCACAUCUGGGAAACCCAACUGCACAUACU
rnacentral:lncRNA from 1 species